AGCGAACGCUGGCGGCGUGCCUAACACAUGCAAGUCGAACGUGAAAAGGGAAACCUGAGUAAAGUGGCGUACGGGUGAGUAACGCGUAGGUAAUCUACCCCAGAAUCUGGAAUAACCUGCCGAAAGGCGGGCUAAUACUGGAUAGAGCGAGGGAACUCGUAAGAGAGUUUUUCGGGAAAGGGAGCCCGCAAGGGCCUUCGUUCUGGGAUGAGCCUGCGUCUCAUUAGCUAGUUGGUAAGGUAACGGCUUACCAAGGCGAUGAUGAGUAGCUGGUCUGAGAGGAUGAUCAGCCACACUGGGACUGUAACACGGUCCAGACUCCUACGGGAGGCAGCAGUGGGGAAUCGUGCGCAAUGGACGAAAGUCUGACGCAGCCACGCCGCGUGAGUGAAGAAGGCCUUCGGGUUGUAAAGCUCUGUCGGAUGGGACGAACAUCUUCAUAGUGAAUAGCUAUGAGGACUGACGGUACCAUCAAAGGAAGCACCGGCUAACUCCGUG
rnacentral:rRNA from 1 species